UUGUGUGCGCAUGCGUCGGUGGCUGCUGUCUCACUGUUCUUUUUCCUGCUUAACUUGGCAGCCUCGGCUUGACUGUUGUGUGGGCAAAGGCUGAGUGAGUGGGGGUAGAUCUCCUUGAUCAGUCAGUCUAUAAGGCACGUGUGAAGAGCUCUCACCAAGUAUGGAAGCGCCUUGUGGAAGUGCCCUGGUUCAUGAAACUACAAGAUGAUUCUCCAUACCCACCACUGCUUAUGGUUCCAUACGACUAAGAAACCUGGAAGUUAUAGUUUAAUAUCUAGUGCUCUGCUCUAUAAGGAGAAUUCAAGAUGUUUCUAGAUACGGUGUUUGCUCACCAGAACACAAGCCAGCUGCAAUCUACAUGUUUAGAGUGGUGACCCUGCUAAUUUACAUGACCAGCAUAUAGCAUAGCUAUCAUCCUGCCAAAAAAGCAGUAGUGCUAAAGUCUGACUUUGUGAGCUUCCCAUUCUAUUGCUUUUAGUAAAAAAUGGUGUAGAAGUGUC